rnacentral:misc_RNA from 1 species
AAAGUCGUAACAAGGUCUCCGUUGGUGAACCAGCGGAGGGAUCAUUACUGAGUUUACAACUCCCAAACCCUAUGUGAACAUACCUAUUGUUGCUUCGGCGGGAUCGCCCCGGCUGCCCAGAGCGCCGGAACCAGGCCCCCGCCGCAAGACCCAAAACUCUGUUUUUUAUAGUAUUCUUCUGAGUGGCUUCUAAAGCAAAAAUAAAUUAAAACUUUCAACAACGGAUCUCUUGGUUCUG